GCUCCAAAGGUCAGCGGUAGACCAGCCUCACCGAUUAGGCCCUCAGUAACAUCAGAAAGGUCUGAGGCGUACGCGGGUUCGACUCCCGCUUGGAGCG